GGCGCACGGGUGCGUAACGCGUAUACAAUCUACCUUGUACAGGGGAAUAGCCCAGAGAAAUUUGGAUUAAUGCCCCAUAGUAUUAUGAAAUGGCAUCGUUUUAUAAUUAAAGCUUCGGCGGUACAAGAUGAGUAUGCGUUCUAUUAGCUAGAUGGUAAGGUAACGGCUUACCAUGGCUACGAUAGAUAGGGGUCCUGAGAGGGAGAUCCCCCACACUGGUACUGAGACACGGACCAGACUCCUACGGGAGGCAGCAGUGAGGAAUAUUGGACAAUGGGUGAGAGCCUGAUCCAGCCAUCCCGCGUGAAGGAUGACGGUCCUAUGGAUUGUAAACUUCUUUUGUACAGGGAUAAACCUACUCUCGUGAGGGUAGCUGAAGGUACUGUACGAAUAAGCACCGGCUAACUCCGUGCCAGCAGCCGCGGUAAUACGGAGGGUGCAAGCGUUAUCCGGAAUCAUUGGGUUUAAAGGGUCCGUAGGCGGGCAUAUAAGUCAGUGGUGAAAGUCUGUGGCUCAACCAUAGAACUGCCAUUGAUACUGUAUGUCUUGAAUUAUUGUGAAGUGGUUAGAAUAUGUAGUGUAGCGGUGAAAUGCUUAGAUAUUACAUAGAAUACCGAUUGCGAAGGCAGAUCACUAACAAUAUAUUGACGCUGAUGGACGAAAGCGUAGGUAGCGAACAGGAUUAGAUACCCUGGUAGUCUACGCCGUAAACGAUGGAUACUAGCUGUUUGGACUUCGGUCUGAGUGGCUAAGCGAAAGUGAUAAGUAUCCCACCUGGGGAGUACGUUCGCAAGAAUGAAACUCAAAGGAAUUGACGGGGGCCCGCACAAGCGGUGGAUUAUGUGGUUUAAUUCGAUGAUACGCGAGGAACCUUACCAGGGCUUAAAUGUAGAUUGACAGGUUUAGAGAU
rnacentral:rRNA from 1 species